rnacentral:tRNA from 1 species
GCCCGGAUAGCUCAGUCGGUAGAGCAGGGGAUUGAAAAUCCCCGUGUCCUUGGUUCGAUUCCGAGUCCCGGGCACCA